UUGCUCAAUUCAGUAGCACGUAUGCUAAAAUUGGAAUGCUACAGAGAAGAUUAUCAUGGCCUCUGUGCAAGGGUGACAUGAAAAUUAAUGGUGUUCCCUAAUUUUUC